rfam:Myotis davidii contig108343, whole genome shotgun sequence.
GGUUGUUCUUGGUUUGUACACCCAAGAAUCGGGCUCCCUCCUCUCUGGUUCCAGUGUGUCAUCCGAGAACCACC